GAUUAGAGUUUGAUCCUGGCUCAGGAUGAACGCUAGCGGCAGGCCUAACCCAUGCAAGUCGAGGGGGCAGCAUAGAAAUAGCUUGCUAUUUUGGUGGCGGCCGGCGCCCCGGGUGCGUAACGCGUAUGCAACCUACCCUGUACUGAGGUAUAGCCCGGAGAAAUUCGGAUUAAUCCCUCAUAGUAUUAUUGAAUCGCAUGGUUUAAUAAUUAAAGGAUACGGUACAGGAUGGGCAUGCGUCCUAUUAGCUAGUUGGUACGGUAACGGCGUACCAAGGCGACGAUAGGUAGGGGGCCUGAGAGGGUGGUCCCCCACACUGGUACUGAGACACGGACCAGACUCCUACGGGAGGCAGCAGUGAGGAAUAUUGGUCAAUGGGCGCAAGCCUGAACCAGCCAUGCCGCGUGCAGGAAGAAUGCCCUAUGGGUUGUAAACUGCUUUUAUUUGGGAAUAAACCUCUUUACGUGUAGAGAGCUGAAGGUACCAAAGAAUAGCACCG
rnacentral:rRNA from 1 species